GCUACCAUGCAGUCGAACGAUGAGAGGGAGCUUGCUCCCUGGAUUAGUGGCGAACGGGUGAGUAACACGUGAGUAACCUGCCCUUGACUCUGGGAUAAGCACUGGAAACGGUGUCUAAUACCGGAUACGAACUUCAGCCGCAUGGCUAGGAGUUGGAAAGAAUUUCGGUCAAGGAUGGACUCGCGGCCUAUCAGCUAGUUGGUGAGGUAAUGGCCCACCAAGGCGACGACGGGUAGCCGGCCUGAGAGGGUGACCGGCCACACUGGGACUGAGACACGGCCCAGACUCCUACGGGAGGCAGCAGUGGGGAAUAUUGCACAAUGGGCGCAAGCCUGAUGCAGCAACGCCGCGUGAGGGACGACGGCCUUCGGGUUGUAAACCUCUUUUAGUAGGGAAGAAGCAAAGUGUUUUACAUGGAGUGACGGUACCUGCAGAAAAAGCACCGGCUAACUACGUGCCAGCAGCCGCGGUAAUACGUAGGGUGCAAGCGUUAUCCGGAAUUAUUGGGCGUAAAGAGCUCGUAGGCGGUUUGUCGCGUCUGCUGUGAAAACUGGGGGCUCAACCCCCAGCCUGCAGUGGGUACGGGCAGACUAGAGUGCGGUAGGGGAGAUUGGAAUUCCUGGUGUAGCGGUGGAAUGCGCAGAUAUCAGGAGGAACACCAAUGGCGAAGGCAGAUCUCUGGGCCGUAACUGACGCUGAGGAGCGAAAGCAUGGGGAGCGAACAGGAUUAGAUACCCUGGUAGUCCAUGCCGUAAACGUUGGGAACUAGAUGUAGGGUCCAUUCCACGGAUUCUGUGUCGCAGCUAACGCAUUAAGUUCCCCGCCUGGGGAGUACGGCG
rnacentral:rRNA from 1 species